UACGUAGGGGGCGAGCGUUAUCCGGAAUUACUGGGCGUAAAGGGUACGCAGGCGGCCAAAUAAGUCAGGUGUGAAAGGUAUCGGCUCAACCGGUGCAAGCACUUGAAACUGUAUGGCUUGAGUACAGGAGAGGAAAGUGGAAUUCCUAGUGUAGCGGUGAAAUGCGUAGAUAUUAGGAGGAACACCAGUGGCGAAGGCGACUUUCUGGACUGAUACUGACGCUGAGGUACGAAAGCGUGGGGAGCAAACAGG
rnacentral:rRNA from 1 species